rnacentral:tRNA from 1 species
GCCCUCGUAGCUCAAUAGGACAGAGCAGCGCACUCCUAACGCGCAGGUUGAUGGUUCAAGUCCGUCCGGGGGUA